AGAGCGAACGCUGGCGGCAGGCCUAAUACAUGCAAGUCGAGCGGCCACUUCGGUGGCAGCGGCGGACGGGUGAGUAACGCGUGGGAAUGUGCCCUUUGGUACGGAACAACUGAGGGAAACUUCAGCUAAUACCGUAUGUGCCCUUCGGGGGAAAGAUUUAUUGCCAUUGGAGCAGCCCGCGUUGGAUUAGCUAGUUGGUGGGGUAAAGCCCACCAAGGCGACGAUCCAUAGCUGGUCUGAGAGGAUGAUCAGCCACACUGGGACUGAGACACGGCCCAGACUCCUACGGGAGCAGCAGUAGGGAAUCUGCGCAAUGGGCGAAAGCCUGACGGCAGCCAGUCGCCGCGUGAAUGAUAGAAGGUCUUAGGAUUAGUAAAAUUCUUACGACCGGGAAGUAUAAGUAGAACGGUACCCGGAAGAACGGAACGCCCCCGGUACUAACGUUCGUCG
rnacentral:rRNA from 1 species